UACGUAGGGUGCGAGCGUUGUCCGGAAUUAUUGGGCGUAAAGGGCUCGUAGGCGGUUUGUCGCGUCGGGAGUGAAAUCCACUGGCUUAACUGGUGGCUUGCUUUCGAUACGGGCAGACUGGAGGUAUGCAGGGGAGAACGGAAUUCCUGGUGUAGCGGUGAAAUGCGCAGAUAUCAGGAGGAACACCUAUUGCGAAGGCAGCUCGCUGGGACGUAACUGACGCUGAGAUGCGAAAGCGUGGGGAGCAAACAGG
rnacentral:rRNA from 1 species